AGUCGAACGGACUUAACCUAUUCUUAACGAUUAGGAGCGGUUAGUGGCGGACUGGUGAGUAAUGUAUAAGUAACCUGCCUAUCAGAGGGGAACAACAGUUGGAAACGACUGCUAAUACCGCAUAUGCCACGAGAAUCACAUGGUUCAAGUGGGAAAGGAGCAAUCCGCUGAUAGAUGGACUUAUAUCUGAUUAGCUAGUUGGUGGGGUAACGGCCUACCAAGGCGACGAUCAGUAGCCGGACUGAGAGGUUAAACGGCCACAUUGGGACUGAGAUACGGCCCAGACUCCUACGGGAGGCAGCAGUCGGGAAUAUUGCGCAAUGGAGGAAACUCUGACGCAGUGACGCCGCGUGCAGGAAGAAGGUUUUCGGAUUGUAAACUGCUUUAGACAGGGAAGAAAAAAGACAGUACCUGUAGAAUAAGCUCCGGCUAACUACGUGCCAGCAGCCGCGGUAAUACGUAGGGAGCGAGCGUUAUCCGGAUUUAUUGGGUGUAAAGGGUGCGUAGACGGGAAAUUAAGUUAGUUGUGAAAUCCCACGGCUCAACUGUGGAACUGCAACUAAAACUGAUUUUCUUGAGUACUGGAGAGGAAAGUGGAAUUCCUAGUGUAGCGGUGAAAUGCGUAGAUAUUAGGAGGAACACCAGUGGCGAAGGCGACUUUCUGGACAGAAACUGACGUUGAGGCACGAAAGUGUGGGGAGCAAACAGGAUUAGAUACCCUGGUAGUCCACACCGUAAACGAUGGAUACUAGGUGUAGGGUGUGAUAAACACUCUGUGCCGUCGCAAACGCAAUAAGUAUCCCACCUGGGGAGUACGGCCGCAAGGUUGAAACU
rnacentral:rRNA from 1 species